AGCGGGGCUAACAGGUUUGAAGGAAGGAAAGGAAAUAAAAUUGUAGGUAGGCUGGUUAUUACUAUAAAAAGAAGUAGUAAAAUACUAAACACAAUAGAGUCCAAGUAUAGAGAUACGCUUGUUUUGGGGAAAAGAUUCAGCAAGGCAAUAAGUAAGAAAACAGGAUCAAACACUUUAAUCAAGCAAGUAAAAUUUAGAGUUCACGAAAGAGAAGUUUUGAAAUCAUUUCCAAAAUUGAAAAUCAAUCAAAGCAGGGGCCUCAACAUAUAAAUAGAGUGUACAAACAAUAGACACGCUAUGCAAAACAAUUGGCAAAAGAGACAACAUGCAAUAGCAGCAAAUAUUCAAAGCAUGGUCAAGUAUGUCAGGUCUCAUUGAAUCAGUAGUAAAGAAAACAGAGCAUCAGGAACAUGCAAAGGUUUCACAUUAGCGGGUGAGGAAACCCUUUGAGAGGUUAGGGGUUUCGACAAAAUUUAAGUUAGAGAUAGUAAAAGAUCAGAUUAAUUAUACAGAGAAAAGAGAGAGUCUAAAAUAAGAACUUCCAAUCAAAUCGAGUGUUCAGACAAUUUCAGACCCAAAACCCCUCUGGUUUUAAACAACGAGUUCAAACGAUGGUAAACAAAUAAGUCAAGCAAGAACUUAAACAAUCAUGCACACCUUUAACAAACAGAUUCAAAACUCAAAUGAACCCAAAAGAAAUUAGGGUUUUUAACAUCAAUCAAAUUUAAAGAUGAUGAACAAAUAGGUUACACAAAUACUUAGCAGAUAUUCUCAGAAACACGAAUGAACCAAUAUAAAUUAUGGUUUUUAACAUCAAUCAAGUCUAAAGAGGAUAAAUAAGUAAAUCAAACAACUACUAAUAAAUAGUCCCAGAAACCCCAAAAGAAAUUAGGAUUUUUAUCGUGCUAGACACAGAAAAGAUUUUGAAAAGAAGAACUUUAAGGAAAACCCCAAUUGGAAGAGUCUUUUGAAAACAAGAUCAAAGAAGUUUUGAGAAGGCAUUUAAAAACUCAUAGAAAGCAUGUAUCUAAAGUGAACCUGAAAGAAGUCCAAAAGGUCUUAGAGAUUAGGGUUUCAGAAAAACCCAAAGCAGCGAGAAAGACAUUGAAAACCAUCGAUCUAAACAGGAGAGUCAAAGGUCUGACUCGAAUGGCCAAGGCUAGCCGGAAAAAGGGUCAGAGAGGACCAGAGAAUGGUCAUCGAGCAAAAACUGGACCAAGCCCGUUCAGAAUCUAGUCAUGAGACCACAACAACAAGCACAUAGAAGUUGAUACAGCUUUUAGAUGAUCCGGGGAGCCAUAGAUUAUGGUAGAUUAAAGUGACAGUGGCUAAGGUUUGGUGUUGUUGUAGAGAGAAUUUGAGAGAGGAGGGGAAUUU
rnacentral:lncRNA from 1 species